UUCAGAUCCGACCGUUGGAUCAUCGUUUAAUUUGAAUCUGAGCGUUGGAUCGUCGUUUAAUUACAUAUUUGAGUUGUUGGCUAAGUCAAGAUCAUUAUUGGACUAGGUGAUUGACGGUUUGAGUUGGUGGACGAUUGUGGAUCGUAUUUUGAGCUGAAUUGAAGACGCAGCGGGAUUAUCGAGCGGGUAAUCCUACAGGACAGGAGAACCAGGACGGUGAUCGUGCGGUUAGAGCAAUUGUUAGAGUUUUACAACAAUUGUAAGUUGUGAGGUGUGUUAUGCUCAUUUGAGCUUUAUAAUAUAUUGUGAGAGUGAAUUGUAAUAAUGAACUCGAAGUUUCGAGAUUUGUUUUUUUUUGUAAUUGUAAUUAUUCAGGUUUCGGAUUUGAAUUUAUCAUUCAAAAUCCGGGGCGUGACAACACAAAUCUCACUAAAAAGGUGUUUCUAAUUUCACCAAUUUGUACAAAUGGAACAAAACGACGAUUAUCAAGAACAAUUCAAUAUCAUUGUACUUACCCAUCGAAGUUGUAUUGUCAAUAUUUGAAUUUUGAUAAGGAAAC